rnacentral:rRNA from 1 species
AUGAGCCUAGCUAGGAUUUGGGACAUGUAUGAGGAUGAGAACAAGCUGAGGCUGAGGCAAAAUGUAGUUAAUGCAGAAGAAAAUUUCAAGAUCAUGGAAGAGAAGGAGAAGAUGGAAAAAGAGUUGAGGUUUUUUAAGGUUGAUUUUGUAAAAAUGGUGCCUGACAAAGAGAAGGCAUUGGCCCAACUAGGCAACACACAUCUUGCUCUGACAGACCUGAAGCAAGAACUUGAGAAGAAGAAUUUUUUUGACAAAUCCGUCACAAAUAUUCAUCAGGUUGUGAGGGCCAAGGCAGAGAAAGAGAGGGGCCUAAUGCAGCAGGAGAGGGAAAAAUUAAUGGAAGAGAGGGACAGUUUGGUGUUGCAGAGAGAUCAGCUAAAGUAA